CUGUGUAACACCAUACAUAAGCACUACACAGAUUCCCAGGGCGAGCCGAAGACCAAGCUGUUCGUCAGAAGUGGAUUGUGAACAUCAACCGAAAGGAUUUUGUUCCGAACAAACAUAUCACGGGAGUGAGUGUCAUGUCCCACACCUC